GGAUGUGAGGUCAAUCUGGCUGCAACAUCUGUCACCCCAUUGAUUGACAGGGUUGAUUCAGCUGAUCUGACUGGCUAGGCAGGUGUCCCCUUCCUCCCUCACCACUACAUGUACGUCCCUCCAGAAGCUGUGCACUCUUGGUCAAAGAGGACGGCCUUUCCCGAAUAGAGAUGGACCGGUCUUCAGCUGAGGGUAUACAAGUAGCUGUGCUCCUGAUCGAACCUCCAAACAAGCUCUCAAGAAAACUGCAAACUAUUAGAGACGGGGCUACAAACACAUCUACAGAAUCGUCUUUAACGUAAAAAGCCAGAGCAUACUUGU
ensembl:misc_RNA 7SK 7SK RNA